rnacentral:tRNA from 3 species
GGGCCAGUAGAUCAGUCAGGCAGAUCGUCGGACUUUUAAUCCGCAGGUCGGGGGUUCAACUCCCUCCUGGCCCGC